UUGAUAACAUUGCAGGAUGUUUAAAACCCAUGUGCUUAAAAAGAGGAAGGCAAGCAAGGAAUCCACUAUGAAGAAGUUCCAGAAGUAAAAAUUAGUCGUGCAACUUGGGUACCUCAUUUGAAGAUUUUAGAACCUCUCUCACCUUCUCUCAUCCUGCUGCUAACAGUUGCAGUGGCGAUCUUUCUUUUAAUUUUUCCCCUUAGUCUCUCUAUUUCUCUCUCACUCUCUCUUUCUCUCUCUUCCGUUCCCUUCCCCCUUCUUCCUCUUGCAUUUUCUCCCCUGUUCAUCAUCUCUUUCGACGAUAGCAGGAGCGGCGGCGUCUCAAUCCACGGGAGUUGUCAUCAUUUGAAUGCCAGAAACCUGAGGCCAAAGCCGCACCUCCUCUGUUCAUCGACGUUGUCAAACCAAGAUCUUGCAGCUUCGCCGUUCAGACGAGGAAACCAGCGAACUGCCGAGAAGGUGCCCCCGGGUAGAAGAACCUAAUCUGGGAGUUCAGUUUACUCCUAUGGAUUGCUAGAUCACCAUCGAAGCAGGUCAUCCUCUCUUUCUGCAAAUUACCUCAGAACAAAACAGACUUCCGAUUCACCUGCUUUGCAGCGUCGAUCAUCCUUCUCUCUGUGUGUAGUUUGUUUUCUCUUUCUACUUUUUCUUUCUCUUUUUUUUUCUUGUUUCAUUUCUCAUGGAUUUCUGCUGUUAAGGAUCUGGGAUCUGAGUGAGGGAUUUCUGAGUUGGUCGAGUACUUUGCUGACCAAAGAGGACUGUGAGGGAUAGGGAAGGGAAUGAAAGAGAGUACUGCCACAAAUCAUUCAGCAAUUUUAACAUUCUUUUGAAUGAUCUUGGUUAAAAUUGAUGAUUGAUCAAAACAAUUCUUUUUUUCCAGGCAGUAUUUCGUGGACAUGGACGAUACUGUUACCCAAAAGAUUGUGGUUCACAAGACUAGUCCAAGAGGGAUCCAUUUUAGACGCGCUGGACCAUGUCAAAAGGUUUAUUUUGAGUCUGAUGAAGUGCAUGCAUGUAUUGUAACGUGUGGUGGUCUAUGCCCUGGGCUUAACACAGUUAUUAGGGAAAUAUUGGGUGGCCUUAAUUACAUGUAUGGCAUUAAUAGGAUCCUUGGGAAUAGAGGUGAG